GCUGGGGUCAGAGACACAUAGAUAUAUCCCUAUACAAAAACUCUGUGAGAAAACAAUGAGAUUAACUACCUUGAUUUUUGACAAAGAAAAAUAUAAUGCUGUAUUUAAAUGAAAUAAGUACUGCGUGCAACUAUUCUAGUAAGCUGAUUGACAUUAAAAAGUUAUUUUAAAACCUUUUUAAAAGUACUUUGGUGAAAUACUAUCUAAGUCUGUUUCAUUAUUGAGACUUUAUCAGUAGUUAAUUCAAAAUGUCUUUCCCAAAAUUAUAGCUAUUCAAAGAACAUCAUAGUGAAGACAUUUUUAAUAGUGUUUUUUCAAAUUUUUUUCAGGUUUAGAUUUUUGUUUUUUUCUGCUGCUUCAUGUUUUUGUUGAAGGAGUCAAUGGAGAUGUAGCACUGUGAUUACGCUCUUGACUACUGGGGAGCAGGAACCAAAGUUACUGUAAAGCCAGGUGAUUCCUCUCAGACUCUGUCCCUCCUCGUCCUCCGCCCCCAGCAGACAUCUGGUGACCCCCUGAACACAGCAGACCAACUCAGUCAAGAAGUCUGUCUGGCAACAGAUUUCCGUCCAAAGGGGGUUGUAAAUGGGAAAGGGGGUCCGGCCAACGUGAGCACUGAUGACGCUGUUCUGAAAAAGAACCAAACCUACUUUGAUGAAUUCAGUAGCAAAAACAUCCACUCCUGUGGGAUGAGCGGGAACAUCAGCACCAAUGAUGAAUGUGGAGGCUUUGAUCCAGAAAAAGCCAAGCUGAACUUCUACCUGCUGCUGAUGAACGGAGUCCGAGUGGUGUUCACCAAAGCUCUGGCCUUCAGCACCAUUCUCACCAUCAGAGGCCUGCUCUUCUGAAUCUGAGCCUUCUAGGCCACCAUACAGGCCAUGACAAAACCUGUUAAAUAAUUGUUUCUAUUACCUCAUUGGAACACAUUUACCCCAUUUAUCUUAGCAAAAUCGUUUACAGGUUGUGUCAAGAGUAAAAGAAAAGGCAGCAGCCUGUAAAAUUCUGAAUAUUAAGUGUAAACAGUUUUUUUUACUAAUAGAUAAAGAUCUGACGCUAUCGCAGAGAAAACCAGAAAUUUAAGUACAAAAUCAAACCCAGAUAAAAGUUACAAUUUAUAAAAUUGUCUUUAGUUUCUAAAUUUGACAACAAAAAAUGAGAAAUGGCCUCAUAACUAAAAAAAGUAACUUCCUUUUGAUCUUCUAAUUUUUCUUACAUUCUCAAUAAUAUUUUCUAUCAAUUUGUUAUGCUUUACUAUGUAUAUGCUGGUGUUAUAUUAAAAGAUGUGUCUCAAAUUAUAUUCUAAAUAGAAAAUGUUUCAAGACACAUUUUGAAUUCAAAAUUGUAAAUACAAUUCAAAUUGGUUUGAAUAUCAGUGAAGAACAAUCAUAUUUAUGUAAAUAAAUGCAAAUAUCCACAAUAUAUUUAGAAAAACAGAAAAGACUUAUUAAGAUAUGUUUACCAAAUAUACUCACUGCAAUGUUUUUAUUUGUUUCUGCUUCAUUGUUCUACAUUGUAACGAACAAAUUAAAAUGGAUAAUAGUGAGUUUUGUUCACUUAAGUUAUGGACAAGUUGCAUGGAAAUAUUUAUUCAUUAAAUGUCUUUUUUUUCAGAAAUUACAAU